CAGAGGGUGCAAGCGUUGUUCGGAAUUAUUGGGCGUAAAGCGCGUGUAGGCGGCUUUGCAAGUCGGGUGUGAAAGCCCUCGGCUCAACCGAGGAAGUGCGCCCGAAACUGCAGAGCUUGAGUACCGGAGAGGAUGGCGGAAUUCCCCAAGUAGAGGUGAAAUUCGUAGAUAUGGGGAGGAACACCGGUGGCGAAGGCGGCCAUCUGGACGGAUACUGACGCUGAGACGCGAAAGCGUGGGUAGCAAACAGGAUUAGAUACCCUGGUAGUCCACGCUGUAAACGAUGAGAACUAGGUGUCGUGGGUGUUGACCCCCGCGGUGCCGUAGCUAACGCGUUAAGUUCUCCGCCUGGGAAGUACGGUCGCAAGACUA
rnacentral:rRNA from 1 species